rnacentral:misc_RNA from 1 species
GAUGAAGAACGUAGCGAAAUGCGAUACGUAAUGUGAAUUGCAGAAUUCAGUGAAUCAUCGAAUCUUUGAACGCAUAUUGCGCUCUCUGGUAUUCCGGAGAGCAUGCUUGUUUGAGUAUCAGUAAACACCUCAACUCCCUUUUCUUUUUUGAAAUGGGAGCUGGACUUGAGUGAUCCCAACACUUUUCUCACUGGAAAGUGGUGGGUCACUUGAAAUGCAGGUGCAGCUGGACUUUUCUCUGAGCUAUAAGCAUAUCUAUUUAGUCUGCCUAAAAAACAGAUUAUUACCUUUGCUGCAGCUAACAUAAAGGAGAUGAGUUCUUGUGCUGACUGAUGCAGGAUUCACAGAGACAGCUUUGCGGCUGACUUUGUAAACUCGAUCUCAAAUCAAGUAAGACUACCCGCUGAACUUAAGCAUAUCAAUAAGCGGAGGA